rnacentral:rRNA from 1 species
AGUGAACGCUGGCGGUAGGCCUAACACAUGCAAGUCGAACGGCAGCACAGUAAGAGCUUGCUCUUACGGGUGGCGAGUGGCGGACGGGUGAGGAAUACAUCGGAAUCUACUUUUUCGUGGGGGAUAACGUAGGGAAACUUACGCUAAUACCGCAUACGACCUACGGGUGAAAGCAGGGGAUCUUCGGACCUUGCGCGAUUGAAUGAGCCGAUGUCGGAUUAGCUAGUUGGCGGGGUAAAGGCCCACCAAGGCGACGAUCCGUAGCUGGUCUGAGAGGAAGAUCAGCCACACUGGAACUGAGACACGGUCCAGACUCCUACGGGAGGCAGCAGUGGGGAAUAUUGGACAAUGGGCGCAAGCCUGAUCCAGCCAUACCGCGUGGGUGAAGAAGGCCUUCGGGUUGUAAAGCCCUUUUGUUGGGAAAGAAAGGCAGCAGGUUAAUACCCCGCUGUUCUGACGGUACCCAAAGAAUAAGCACCGGCUAACUUCGUG